UAGCUGGGUUGGGUGUUGGAUGUUGGUUGGAUUGGGGUGGAUUUGGUUUGUGUUGGGCUGGGGUUGGUUUGGAUGCUUGAGGCCAUUUGCUCUGGUCCUGUCCCUGGUUGCCUGGAGAAGAGGCCAAAGCCUCGUGGACAGCAGUGGAGCCCAGGGAUGGAUCAGGGGUAGCUGAGGGGAGAAUUCACCUGCACAGAGCCAGAGCCCGAGGAUGGAGAUGUUCACCAAUAAUUGAAGUUGUCAGUAACCCUGGUAAGGAAAUGCACCAAACUGGCUGGACCCUGGCAGGAGCUUGGCAGGAGCACUGAGAGCAUCUGGGAGCCCCUUUGGGAUAACACUGAGACACAGCCUAGGAGUCUUUUAUUCUGUAAAAGCCCAGAAUUUGUGCCUGAUGUGGCACAGCUCCGUGUGCCCAGAGCUCGACACGAGCUCACACUGCACAGGGGACACGGCCAGGGACAAGCCAGCCCACUGGGGACCAUCCUGGGGGCAAACACCAACUCCACAGCUCAAAUCACAAAUGUCAGAACUGUAAAAAUGGCAUUUAAUGGCAUCUUUUCAUAACCAGUCUGAAAUGCCAUCGUUUUAUUGGGAUAAUGUGAACACAACAGGGAUCACAAAUUGCAAUCCCAUGCUGGGCUUCACCCCAGUUUCUUGGAAGCUGAGGACAGAGUCCGAGAGAGCAAAUACCAGCAAAGCAAGGUGGCAGGUGAGGGAGGUGUGCCCCAGCCCACCCCAGGGCCGUGGAGCACGGGAGGGGGCAGAGGAAAGGGCAGAAACCCUGCGAGGAAUCGGAUCCUGGGCCACAAAGGUUUCUGGUAUCAACAUCAGUGCUUUUGUAAAUGGAAUGGGACAAAGGGGACUCUGGCUGGGAUGUGACCACCCUGAGAACUUGCUGCUCUCACCACGAGCCCAUGAGCCACUGAGCAGCUUUCUCUGCGUGUCUGAUGGCUCUGCUUACAGCAGCUCUCUCUCCACGUGGUUAUCGUAAAUCCCAUCCUUGUCUUGCCUCUGACCCCCCAUCUGCAGCCAUCCAGCUUGGGAAUUACCGAGGGGAAAUUUAUGUAAGCUUUGUUUUAAUUGCAAGCAAUUCAAAGAAAUCAUUCCCUGCUGGGAACUCGGCCUUUUCUGCAGCAGUUAAAUGAGAUUUUAUUGCAGCACGCCUCGCUCUGUGGCUCGGGGGGAGGCUGAGGUGGUUUUUGGUGACUGAGGGGUUGGAAACGCCAAAAACUCCGAGGGUCACUGGCAGGGAAGGAGCUUCAUGGAGCAUCCUCUGUUCCGGGGCUGAGACUUGUGAACCCAAGUGCAGCAUCUUCACAGCCAGGGAGAGGCUCCUUUCAGCACUGCUGUUUUCCUUUUCCCGUUUUCCUGGUUUCUGUCUCUGCACAGGAGCCCAGGGCAGCUCAGCCCCCACCACCAUCCCCUGCCUCUGUCCCAACCCUCACCUGGGGCCCCGAGGCUUUUCAGAACAUUUCAUUUCUAUCACUGAUGUUUGGCACCUGGCACCUGCCUUGGGAGGGAGCUUUUAUCACCUUCUGAUGGGUAUCAGACAGUCGGGAACCCCUGCAGGGACAAAAUACAUUUAAAAUCACAGAAUUAAAGAGGGAUUGAGGUUGGAAGGGACCUCAAACUCUCAGAGUCCCUCCCCUGCCAUGUCAGACCCAACCCUCUCCAGGACAAAAACUCCACAAAAGCAUUUUGGAGCCAUUUAAUGAAAAAAGCAGAAUUUUAUUAUAUGGUUUCUGUCCAUUAUUCGGCAUUGCUGUAAAUGGCUCACAUUUACUGCAACUUCUGUACAGAUGUGUGGCUUUGUAUUACCAGAACAGCAAAUUUAAAUGAAAAAAUAAAUGUUCAACAAUUCCACACAAGCUUUUACAGUCCAACAUUUCACUGAGUAGGUGAAAACUACAGACUUGUUACUACAGAAUUAUUCAGCAUGAAUAAAAAACUACAACUUUUAUUUUUAAA